UAGGGAAUAUUGCAAAAUGGGCGAAAGCCCGAUGCAGCAACGCCGCGUGGGCGAUGAAGGCCUUCGGGUCGUAAAGCCCUUUUUGAGGGGAUGAGGAAGGACAGUACCCUCAGAAUAAGCCUCGGCUAACUACGUGCCAGCAGCCGCGGUAAAACGUAGGAGGCGAGCGUUAUCCGGAUUUACUGGGUUUAAAGGGUGCGUAGGUGGGCUUAUAAGUCAGUGGUGAAAUCUCCGAGCUUAACUUGGAAACUGCCGUUGAUACUAUAGGUCUUGAAUUAUCUGGAGGUAAGCGGAAUAUGUCAUGUAGCGGUGAAAUGCUUAGAUAUGACAUAGAACACCAAUUGCGAAGGCAGCUUACUACAUAUAAAUUGACGCUGAGGCACGAAAGCGUGGGGAUCAAAC
rnacentral:rRNA from 1 species